UGUCCGGCCUGGUCGGUGGUUGGUACCCGGCGGUGUGGACGCUGAUCCUGCUCUCCGGGCUGGGCGUGGCGAUGUUCCAUCCGGCGGCCGGACGG
rnacentral:tRNA from 1 species